GACUGGUCUGAGUGCAGUGAUGUUUACAACUAAUUUUCCACAACCAGUUAUAGAUUUCUGUUCUACUCCCACAGCUUUACUUGACCUAGUCUUUA
rnacentral:Y_RNA from 1 species